GUUUCGUUACUAUUUUUAUGAUACUCGAACUCAAGAUAACGUAAAUUGUGAAAUUAGGCUUUUUUUUAUAGUAACCGUGUAUCUGAUUCGUUUUAUUCGAUACAAAAACAAAUAUAUUUCAACAUCGAUGAAGUCGGAAGCGUGAGACUGGCUGCAGUGGGUAGUUUCACAUAGUUGAUUCUAUAAAGAUUAAUAAUUUGCCUACAUUUCUAGAUUAAUUUGAUAUUUUUGAACCUAGACACCAAGGCGCUUUCGUGCCGUCGUGGCCAAAUGGAUAAGACGCCCAAUCUACUCGUGUCAAGCAUGCGACUAUGCCAGAUUUGAAAUCCCGUAAACAGGGAGCAGAUAUUGGAAGCUGAUCGUGGGCCAAAGAAGAUUUAGAGCCGCACUGAGCGACUCCCCUGCACUCUUACACUCGACGUCCAAUCUGCGUCCGAAGUCAGAACACGGUCAGAGUAGGGGGGUUCCCGAGGUCAACAAUACAACCAGACUCGCGGCGCCACCACUAAGACGCCCGACCGACCAACGACGACCAACGACGCCGUCUCCGCGGUACGGCGGCCCUACCAGACCGCCCGGGCGAUGCUGCUGGUGUUCCGGGAUACCCCGCUGGGCCAGAACCAGCCUGACGGGUCGGAACGCUAUACACCGUCCACCAGGUUACUCUUCCAAAGUAAUAAUUUAACAUAGCUAUGUCAACUUUCACGUAGUUUCCUGUAGGAUAGCUUAACUCCUGAUUUCAUGUUUAAGAGAAACGCCAAGCAUAACUCUUCCUAUGACAUGACAGUCGGCAAUAUGUAGAAAAUCGAUGAUCAUGAUCACAUUGUUGUUCUGCCCACUACCGACAUUGGAACAGAUGGAUACUAGACCAGACCAGCAGUCAUAAUGUGGACUGAAUUUACAAGGAGUGUCUAACAGGAACUAUGCAAAGCAGGCUUGGUGUUACAAUUUGAGAGAGAUCUAUGUCCAGUAGGGUAUGACAGUGGUUUGAAAAUAGUAAUACUAAAAGUGGUUGACUACUAUUCUAUUAAAGAAAAGAUUGUUACUGAUUAAUGUUUUCUUGUCCAACAAUGAUGCAAGCACCACUGAAUGCUCUAUCCAUGCUAGUUAUUAAAGAUAUUGGCACAAACACUUACCAUUACUUAUUUCGUCCAUCAGUUGCUUCUGGGAUCUUAUAACUAAAUUCCUAAAACUGCACGACUCUCUUAGCCUCUUUAUGCAUGGAUCACAGAUUUGAUUGUAGUCCUCAGAGUCUAACUGGAUCCACUGUGGAGUAUACGAAUGGCUAUUUACAUGAUGGAAAUUUCUAGAUAGAUAUGUUUUCACUCAUAAAAUAAGUUAUUUUUAUUACGUAGCUGACACAAAAAUAUUUUGAGUAUCCUCAUCAAAAAAUUGAUUGAAAGAAAUUGAAGAAUUAGCUUGUGUAGUACAAUGUUAGUUUUGUAUAUUUCUGAGUAAUAAAUAAUAAAAGGUAUGUACAUAUA